GCCCGCGGGAAUUCGAUUCAGGCCUAACACAUGCAAAAAAAAAAAUUCUCUUCGGAGAAGAGCGGCGGACGGGUGAGUAACGCGUGGGUAACCUGCCGUGUACACGCGGAUAACAUACCGGAAGGUAUGCUAAUACGAGAUGAUAUGCUUUUGUCACAUGGUAGAAGUAUCAAAGCGUUUGCGGUACAGGAUGGACCCGCGUCUGAUUAGCUAGUUGGUGAGGUAACGGCUCACCAAGGCGACGAUCAGUAGCCGACUUGAGGGGGUGAUCGGCCACAUUGGAACUGAGACACGGUCCAAACUCCUACGGGAG
rnacentral:rRNA from 1 species